CCUACGGGUAGCAGCAGUGGGGAAUAUUGGACAAUGGGCGAAAGCCUGAUCCAGCCAUGCCGCGUGUGUGAAGAAGGCCUUCGGGUUGUAAAGCACUUUCAGUGGGGAAGAAAGCCUUGGGGCUAAUACCCUCGAGGAAGGACAUCACCCACAGAAGAAGCACCGGCUAACGCCGUGCCAGCAGCCGCGGUAAUACGGAGGGUGCGAGCGUUAAUCGGAAUUACUGGGCGUAAAGCGCGCGUAGGCGGUCUGAUAAGCCGGUUGUGAAAGCCCCGGGCUCAACCUGGGAACGGCAUCCGGAACUGUCAGGCUAGAGUGCAGGAGAGGAAGGUAGAAUUCCCGGUGUAGCGGUGAAAUGCGUAGAGAUCGGGAGGAAUACCAGUGGCGAAGGCGGCCUUCUGGACUGACACUGACGCUGAGGUGCGAAAGCGUGGGUAGCAAACAGGAUUAGAUACCCCAGUAGUC
rnacentral:rRNA from 1 species